CACGAACCGUACGAACGUUAUUCGGAAUUACUGGGCUUAAAGGGUUUGUAGGCGGCCAUGUAAGUCGGGUGUGAAAUCCCUCGGCUCAACCGAGGAAUGGCGCCCGAUACUGCAUGGCUUGAGGGAGACAGGGGUAAGCGGAACUGAUGGUGGAGCGGUGAAAUGCGUUGAUAUCAUCAGGAACACCGGUGGCGAAAGCGGAUCUCUGGGCCGAUACUGACGCUGAGGAGCGAAAGCGUGGGGAGCGAACAGG
rnacentral:rRNA from 1 species